ACCAGCUGACCUCAGGCGGCGGGUCAGCUCCCGGCCCCGCCCACCUCUGCACAUGCGCAUGGAGGCCCUCUACGGCCACGCCACUGCUGCUGACCCAUGCUCCUGCUGCUGCUCUGAUGGAAUGGAGUGCGGACGCAUGUGUUUCUGUCGCUGUGAAUUUUAAUGAGGUUACACUGACUUAGACCCUUAAGAGUUUCUGGGCUGGGCCUGGCCUAGCAAUGGCUCUGCACAAUUUAGUGAGUCGUAAGGAGUGCUGUCACUGUUCUCUGGGUGCUGGGCCCCAGGAGUCACAGAAGGGCUCCAUCAGCACACAGAAUGCAGAAGCGUGCGGCUAUUUAGAGCUCUCCCUGGCUCUCACCUGAUCUUCAAUGAUACGGGAAGAUUAAGUACCAGGAUCGGAAAAGAUAUGGGAGAGAACUGGUUGGAGCACACUCGAGUUCAGUAGAUGUGGAAACACGUGCCCUCAGGAAGUCCCACGGACAGAGGAGCCUGUGGGUUACAGUCCCUGGGAUUGCAAAAAGUUGAACACAACUUGGCGGCUAAACAACAACAAUCAGCCAACCUAUACAGGGAGUCCCCAACACGCAAACCUUCAAGUUGUGAACUUUCAGAGAUGUGAAUGUGCUUCUGGUUCUAGCAAGGAGCCAGAACCCAUGCCAUCAACAUCAGGCAUGAGUGAAAUUGCAGUCUGCUCUCCAUCUUCUGCUGCUGACAGUCCUUCAGCUCUGCCAUCUCCCACCUGCUCUCCCUCCUCCCGUCGGUAACUUCUUGCCUGUUCACUUGAUACCAGCCCCUGUAUGCCAGCUUUUGUACUGCACUGCUGUACUUUUCAAAAU
ensembl:lncRNA